rnacentral:tRNA from 1 species
GGGCGAGUGGCGGAACUGGUAGACGCGUCGGACUUAGGAUCCGAUAGGUUAACACCUGUGGGAGUUCAACUCUCCCCUCGCCCACCA